rnacentral:lncRNA from 1 species
GAUUUUUUUCAUCUUAAAAUCCCUUGCCCUGUGAGUAAGUUGAAGUCACAUUAAUUUACUGAAGAAUUUCUGGCUCUCACCAUGCUGUGAGGCAACCAGGCAUCCCUGGGAGUUGCAGGUCUGUCUUGAAGUAGCUUCCCGGUGGAGAGUCACGUGAAAAAGUCAUGGGGGCAGGAUCCUUCAUAUUAAUGAGUACCGGCUGGGGGCUGGAGCUGGGGGUCUGGAGGAGUUCUGUCCCACAGUGGUUGGGUCAGGAUAAGUCAUGGCCUGGCCUUUGAACUGGGCAAAUGUCUCACUGUUACUUCUGUCUCAAAGAGGGUCAGAAUGUAGAGUAAGACCAGUGCUUUUUCAAAAGGAAGAAAAAAAAAUGUAUCAAAGAGCCUGUGUUCUUUUCACUGGGAGGUUGUGACCACUGACCUGACCUUUGCCCAGGUGUUUACAUAUGCCUGUACCUUUGCCACACUCUUCCUCCCAUGAGCUGGAGGAUGCUGGCAGGAAGGUGCGUGCUAAGGAGGGAUUUCCAUGCCGAAGGCGUGUUCAUACCUUUCCCUAUGGCUGAGCAGUAUCUCUACCUUUACACCCUCAAUUAUAACAUUAAUGAAACAUUGCCAUAAAAUAUA